CCUUAGCCUCGUUGUUCUGCAUCUCUGUACUCGAAUCACCUUUCUCUCUUGAUCCAACGUUUCGAUCCAAGCUUUAAAGGUAUAAAAAUCUCACUUUUCUCUCUUGAUCUUCGUUUAGGCUAUAUGAUUCAUCAUGGGUACAGAUCUAGGGUCUCUGAUUUAACACUAGUGUCUGCGUUCUCGUUUGGUCUCGAGUUCGGUUCCUUUGUGAAUGAUAGAAACAGAGGAUGGGUUGUGUAAGAUAAAAAAUUAUUUGAAUUUUGUAUUUGGAACUUAUAUAAUUGUGAAGUUUUGUUUGGUAGAAGAUGUGUUUAGGUUGCUUGUACGAGCCUAAGAUGUGCUUUGUUUUUACCGCCUUUCUCUUGUUUAAUCAAUAGCUUAUAUUAUACUAGGGUCGGACCCGCCCUACGGACGGAUAUGCAAAUGAACGAAACAAUAUAAAUAUAUUUUAAAUUUUAAUAAAUUUUCAGUUUAUUUUAAAUUAUAAUUUUCACUAUUUUUUACUACAUACUUUACUAUUUCUUCUUUUUUUAUAAAUUAUAUAUUUCUUACUAUAAUAAAAAAUGUAUAAAGAAAUAUAAGUAAACUAUAUCUCUUUUUCCAAAAUAAAUUUCAUAAGGAAGCAAAUAAAAAAACUUUUAAAAGUGUUGUAUGAGUUAAAUACAGUAAAAUUUCUAUGAAUUUUUUUUUGUAACACCUCUAUGAAAAAUAUUACUAUUUACUAUAUCCCCUAUAUAUUAUUUGAGAAGCAUUACAACUUCUUUUUGUAGACACAUGUCAUCACUAGAAUGAUUCUUAGAAUCAUUAGAGAAAUAUGUUGGUCUAUUUAAUUAUAUAAUAAGCUUUUUAUUAUACUAACAAUAAAUUUUCAUCAUUAAUGUACUUUAUUAUUUUCUUAAAUAAAAUUUAUGGAAUUGCCUAAUGUGGCUAAAGUAUAUAUGGUAAUUAAUGAUUUUGAAUAAUAAAGAUUUGAUAAAAAAUAGUGUAUCUUCUAUCACAUUUGUUUAAUUUUAAGCUAUUAAAUAAAUUAAACAACCACAAUAACCAUAUAAUAAAAAUUUAGAGUUUUAUAUAUAUGUUAUAUUUUGAAAUUUUACAAACGGCUAUAAAUUACUAAAACUGUUAAAAGUCUCACAUUCAAAUUUUAUGAUCCAUGGUUUAAAAUUUUUGUUAUGAAAAAAUACAAAUGAUUACAAAAAUUAUAUAAGUAAAAAGUCUAAUUUAAUUAAUUAAUAAGAUUAAUAUAUAUAUCAUUUUAAAUUAAACUAUAAACCAUAUAAAAUACAAUAUUUUAGUUUCAAAAUUUACUUUGAACAAUUUUUUUGAUAAAAGUUUUGAACGAUCAUUGACAACUUAUUUUUUUUUAAAUUAUAAAUUACUAAAACUAUUAAUCCCACAAUGAAAAUUUUGUUAUCAGUAAUUUAAAUUUUUUUCUAUAAAAGAUACAAAUGAUCAAAAAAAUAUAUGAGUAGAAAUCAUCAUUUAAUAGACAUUAAUAUUAAAAAUAUACUAAAAUAUAUUAUCUAUGUUAGUAUCAUUUAAAUUUAAUAACAUAUCCUAUCAAAUAAAAAAAAAAUUGGAUUAAUACAAUUGAUUUAUAUGUUCGCACCAAUUUAAUUAUAUUUUUAAUAGUUACUGAUUUUUAAUUAUUUAAUAUAUAUUUAUUAUUUUAAAAUAUGUAAAAAUUAAUAUUUAAUAUAUAAAAUAAUUUAUAUAUAUAAUAUUGAUCCCGCGCAAGGCGCGGGUCUUAACCUAGUCAUUUGUUAAACUAUAAACAUAAAACAAUAUAUUGCAAUCUAAUUAUAGUUAAAAUAUAUUUAUGGAUUAAAACUCAGUGUAAAAUGAUAAUUAAGAUAUUCUCAAUAGAUAUGCACAACUUAUUUAAUUUUUAUUAUUUUAUUUUAUUUUGUUUUGAAUUUACUAUCUUUUCAAAAUACCAAUCAGGUUAUUACAUUGUUAUUAAAAAUAAAAUAUUAUAUACUUUCUAACUUAAUCUCUUACUUUUAUAUUUUGUUUACAAUAUUAAGCACUAAUGUAUUAGUUUGAGGAUUUAUGUGAAUUUUGAGUAUAUCUUCAGUCCAACAUUAUGAUCCAAAAACAUUAUCUUCCUUUUUUUAUCUCCUGUAAAAAAAAUCUACAAUCUUGUAUUAAUAUCACAAUAAAGAUAUAAAUUGUAUUUUUUAUAACAUCUAUGUUUAUGCAAUCGAGAGUACAUGAUCUUGAUAGCUUUAAAAAAAGAAAAAUAGGCAAGAAAGCGAGUACCUUCCAGCGAAAACAAUAAUCCUUUCGCGUUGAUUCUUAUUUUGGCAAUGCUUAAAAGCAAGCUGGAUCGCUGUUGUUAAAUUAAACUCUCCAACAUCGAGACCUCAUAAGACAGUAAAAUUGAUGACUCCAUCAAAACAACAACAAUUACAAAAUUGUUUUUGAGUAGAGACAUACUGUGCAUACAUGCCAGAAUCUUGCCAAGAUCAGAGGUAGGCGUAGUCAAAACUCUAACUCCUUACCUGCCAUUGUCAAGAUCCCCACAGUGUUCUCCGGAUUCGACUGCAAUCGCAAAACACAAAAAGAUCCCCUAAAUCACAGAUAAAAAGGACAAUUCAAAAGCUCUAAUGGAAUAGAGUUUACCUGGGUUUUGGCACCGCAGAGAAGAUUAAUAGCUUCGGUUUGAGCCUGUAAGAGAAUGGUACAUCAAUGAUGAUCUCUUUCAUCGCUGGUUUCUUGCGAUGAAACACUAAUCGCUAUCAAGUAGCUUCUCCUCCCCACCAACCCGAUCCAUCCUGCGAUGUACAGGAACAACAGUCCUGGUGUUAUAAACUCUCCCCAAUGCCUCUGGUCUCCGUUCACCAUCAGGUGUGGUAUCCCGUCUGCACCGCACAGUAGCCCGUACUUUCCGUAGUUGUUGAACCUAACAACAAACAUAAUCAAAGAUUAAAUUUCUUGUUUUUUGAAUGAAUAGAGAUUCAAUUUCAAUAGCAGAUGAAAAACGGAACACAAUCAUCAUCAUGAGACGAACCUGCGUUUGGUCUUUUCGAUCUGAGCGUUAAGAGCAAGAGCAGGAGCACUCUCAGGAGCGUAAUUUAUGUUUUAAGAAAGCUGAACCGGUGAAUCUUCAGUUUGGUCGAGCAAGAUGUUUGAGGCCUUAAUGUCUCAGUAUAUGAAUUUUACCCGUAUGGUCCAAAUGAGCGGCUUACACUGUACAAUAUCUGCUUCAACACCAUUCAAGCAUAAGAACAAACAAUCUCCCGAGAGUUCUAAUAAAUUCUUGAUUUAGGAACGACCUUGAAAGCCAUAAAGUUUAACACGCUUGACAGCAAAUACAAUACCAGUGCUGGAUUUAGUUGGAGCUAUAGUAGUCCCAUCGAUCCAACCUCUAUAGUCAGAACGGAAACCCCACCUUAUCCGACAACAGAGUCUGAUCUGAAGUUCCUGAUUGCAAGUUUGAGUUUGUUGAAGGUCAAGCUCUUUGCUAAGUAUCUCUCCUUCUAGCUUAUGAGCUGCCAGUGAUGAUGCUGAUUGAACACUCAAGAGGUGAAGGUUGUAGAUACCACUUCUCUUUUCUGCAGAAACACACACAAAGCGUUGACUAAAGUUAAAACUGAGGACAAAUGGAAAGUUGGAAACUUUUUUACUCAGGUUACGUGAAGAUUCUUGCAAAGUUCAUUCCUUUUCUAAAACCCCAUCAUUAAUAAACAGAUAAAAGAUCGAAUUUGAAGAGGGACACUUGAAAAAAAGAAAUCAAAUAUUCACUGGAAAAUGUACAGAAGGGAAAUUAAGGAGAUGGAGAGAAUGUACAAUCGUCAGGUAAAAUAAUGUUGUUAAUAAAAUUUUCAGGUAUAGUGGUCAUUGGUCAAGAAUAUGUGUGCUUUCAGAAGAAACAGAGGAAGCUGAAGACCACCCAUAUUCUUCUCCAAAUCACUGAAACUCAUAAGAAGAAGACAAUGCUUUUACAUCUCAAAACCUGAUCAGUUGCACCUCGACAGUGGAAGAACAUGUAGGCCAGCCUUCAAAUCAGUGAUUAGGAUAGAUGAGUUAGCCAUUAUAUUGAAAAAGUAAUCUCUAGUGCUAUUAUGGAAUGUGAGGAUGAGGUUCAAGGGAUGAAGCUUACCUUUCUAUAGGUAUAUUUCCACGGCCUUUCUCAGAUAAGAAGCAUUGAAUGUGAAAUGGUUGUUAAUGGCAAUGCAUCAAUACUUCUGGUAACGUAUUGGAGAAGAUGAAUCUUAGACUAAACUACACGAACCUAAAUUUGAUGCAGCAGCAUCCGAGUAGCUUCAACGUCAAGUUUCCUUUUAAGUUAUUUCCUUUUUACUUAGGAUUUAUGAUUUACCUUUUCUAUUAGGUUAAGGAAUUUAAUGACGGUUUAAGAGUUCUAUAUAAAGAACUCUCUUAUGGCUUUUGUAAGAUACACUUUUGAUAAUUAAUAAAACUAGCUUUGAGAUUUAUACCUUGAAAGAGAUUUGAUUCAAUUCAUCUUGUUCGAGAAGCCUUGAGAGAGAUUCGAUUAGAUUCAUCUUCUUCAAGAAGCAGGUCUCUAGAGUUUUCAAUUGAAAACCCUAGAUCGAGAUGAUAUCUUGUUCGCACCCUCCAUCUGAUUGGUAUCAGAGCAAAACACCCAUCACAUCCCACACCUAACAUCCGCCCGCUACCUUGCCCUGUGCCAAGAAGGAAACACAAGAUGAAAUUCAGCAACGAACUAUGGAGGAGAUGCAGACACAAAUUGCUCAACUUACUCAAGCAAUGGAAGGUCUGAUCGCACAAAAGAACACUGCCCCUGUCGAGGAACACGAAGAAGAGCAGUCUGAUCACGACGAUGAUGCAAACCCGUUUGCUGUCCUCGGAGGAAAUCGAAACAGAGCUCAACCCGUGCAACUCAAUGAACGAUGGGAUCGAAGUUUCAAAUUCGAGAUUCCAGAAUUUCAUGGAAACCAAGUAGCUGAAGAAUUACUCGACUAGAUCGCCACGGUUGAAGAGAUUUUAGAGUUCAAACAGGUCCCGCUCGAGCAUUGUGUGCCAGUACUAGCAAUGCGCUUUCGAAGUUGAGCAACCGCUUGGUGGACUCAGCUUAAAGCGUCCAGACUUCGUAUGGGCAAACCUAAGAUCGAGUCAUGGAAUAAGUUGAAGAAACAUAUGCGAAAGAUGUUCCUACCUUAUAACUAUGACCAGCUGAUGUUUCAACGACUACAACAUCUCCGUCAAGGAAGCCGUACGGUAGAAGAAUAUGCAACUGAAUUUUUCUUGUUAUUAAACAGAAUUGAUCUUCAUUAUUCAGACAGACAACUGGUCGCCCGUUUCAUCGGUGGUCUGCGACAACAAAUUCAGCAUACAUUAAACCUGUUUAACCCUCUUACGCUCUCAGAAGCUCAUCAACAGGCUUUAACCGUCGAAGCACAAAACAAAACGACCUCCACUCCGUGGAAUUCAAAUCGCCAACAACGCACCGCACCGGUCACAACUCCAACAACUACAAACCCAGCACCAAUCGCGGCCACACCUGCGACUGCCAUUGUUCCCGUUGAUGCGACACGACCAGCCCAUACAGGUACCUUGCGCUGUUUCGCCUGCGGGGAAGCUGGACACAGACAUGCUGCUUGUCCCCAUCGAAAUCAACGAGGCCUCUUACUUGACUCUUCAGGCCGUGAUGUUGAGAUCGAGUUUGAUGAACCUAUUCAUGACGAACCUGAGGAACUAGAACCCGAUACUGGUGUUUGUUUAAUGUUGUGCCGUUCUUGCCUAGCUCCACGCAGCAACGGCGACUUCCCACAACGCAAUAAUUUAUUUCACUCUCGUUGCACCAUCGAAGAAAAAGUGUGUAAACUAAUUAUCGACUCUGGUAGUAGUGAGAACGUUACUGCUGCGGAUGCCGUAAAGAAGCUCGCACUCAAAGAUGAACAGCAUCCGACUCCGUACAAGCUCGCCUGGUUACAACAAACUCACGACCUCCUGGUGACUCGUCGAGCUUUGGUUACCUUCUCUAUUGGUGAUUCAUAUCAUGACAAAAUUUACUGCGACAUUGCUCCGAUGGACGCGUGUCAUUUACUUCUCGGACGUCCGUGGGAGUUCGACCGAAGAAUAAUACACGACGGAUUCCUAAACACCUAUACUUUCACAUUCAACAACCGUACCUUCACCCUGAAACCUUCAGUACCAUCAUCAUCACCGCCUACAACUCCCUCACCAGCACGUCCUACAACCUCAUCUAACCCUCUGUUACUUCUACACAAGACACCGUUCGAAACGACAAUGCGCGAAGAAGUAGUUUUUAUUUUAACCGCGACGCCCUCUUCGCCACUUCUUGACAAUGAAACCCGACCAGAAUUUCAAGCUAUCAUCAAAGAAUUUGAGGACGUCUUCCCCAACGAUAUCCCUCCGGGAUUACCACCAUUGCGAGAUAUUCAACACCAAAUAGACUUUAUCCCCGAUGCCAAUCUCCCCAACCGUGCUCACUAUCGAAUAAGUCCAACAGAACAUGAGGAACUACGGAAGCAAGUUGGAGAACUGGUUACUCGAGGAUUCUUACUGGAGAGUAUGAGUCCUUGUGUCGUUCCAGCCCUAUUGGUUCCAAAGAAGGAUGGUUCAUGGCGUAUGUGUGUGGAUAGUCGUGCAGUGAAUAAAAUAACCGUGCGAUAUCGUUUCCCAAUUCCUCGCCUUGAUGACCUUCUCGAUCAAAUCGGGACAGCAAGGAUAUUUUCUAAACUGGAUUUGAAAAGCAGUUACCACCAGAUUCGUAUUCGCCAAGGAGAUGAAUGGAAAACAGCUUUCAAGACCCGUGAAGGACUUUUUGAGUGGACGGUAAUGCUGUUUGGCUUAUCGAACACACCAAGUACGUGUAUGCGAGUUAUGAAUCAGGCUCUCCGUCCUUUCAUAGGCAAAUUCGUCAUUGUUUACUUCGAGGAUAUCUUAAUCUUCAGCCUCAAUAUGGAGGAUCAUAUGACAAAUCUGCGAGAAGUCCUCCUUGUUCUUCGUCGAGAUAAACUUUUUGCAACACUGAAAAAAUGUGGGUUAAGCACACGUUCACUUCUUGGGAUACAUUUUUUCGGAGAAGGGCCUUGCCGUCGACCCUGCAAAAGUAUCCGCCAUCAAAACUUGGCCAGAACCGCAUACUAUAAGCGAAGCACAGAGCUUUCGUGGGCUUGCAUCUUUUUACAGACAUUUUGUUCCGCAGUUUAGUGCUAUCAUAGCGCCAUUAACAAACUGCAUUCGCGAGGGAGCUUUUAUAUUUACGCUGGCUGCAACUACUGCUUUCAACAUCAUCAAAGACAAACUUAGUUCAGCACCUAUCUUGGCUUUACCAGACUUUACGACGGUAUUUGAACUACACUGCGACGCGUCUAAAAGUGGGAUUAGCGCUGUCAUUAGCCAACGAAACAGGCCUAUAGCAUUCUUUAGCAAAAAGAUAUCUGGUGCGCGUUUUCAUUAUAGUACGUAUGACAUCGAGUUAUAUGCUAUUGUGCAAGCAAUCAAGCAUUGGAGGCAUUACUUGUUCCACAAGGAAUUUGUCCUUUACACUGAUCAUGACGCCCUCAAGCAUCUUAGCACUCAAGAUAAAGUUUCUGCGCGACAUGCCUCUUGGAUAGUCUAUCUACAACAGUUUACAUUCGUGAUCAAGCACACUUCGGGAACCAGCAACCCCGUAGCUGACUCCUUGAGUCGACGACACUCUCUCCUCUCCGUGCUUCAUGUCUCGGUACCUGGCUUUAGAUCGUUUGUGGACUUAUACCCGACAGACACGUUUUUUGUUCCAAUUUGGACUGCCGUUUCUGCUGGUCCAUCCUUACCGUACUCGAUCCAUGAUGGUUUCUUAUUCCGGGAUAACCGUCUUUGUGUUCCUGAUUGUAGUCUUCGUUUGCAACUUAUUUCCGAGCUUCAUAAUGAAGGUCACAUCGGCCGAGAUUGAACCAUGCACCUUGUUUCUACGUCUUAAUUCUGGCCAGCAAUACGAUGGGACGUGGAACGCUUUGUGGAGCGUUGUGUUAUUUGUCAAACGUCCAAGGGUCAAGCUUCCAAUGCUGGUUUGUACCUUCCUUUACCAAUACCAACUCAGCCAUGGACAGAUAUAAGUAUGGAUUUUGUCAUGGGAUUGCCACGGACUCAAAAAGGGUUCGAUUCAAUUUUCGUCAUGGUAGAUUGGUUUUCUAAAAUGGUUCACUUUAUACCCUGCAAACGUACAACUGAUGCAGCUGAAGUGGCCACUUAAUUCUUCCGAGAGGUGUACCGGCUUUAUGGCUUACCAUUGUCGAUUGUCUUCGACAGAGAUUCUCGCUUUCUUAGUCACUAUUGGCGCUCGUUAUGGAAACUCUUCGAUACAAGUCUUGAUAUGAGUUCUGCGUAUCAUCCUCAAACUGACGGCCAAACAGAGGUCACGAAUCGUUCUCUCGGUAACUUGCUACGCAGCUUGGUCGGAUCAUCCAUUAAGUCGUGGGAUUCUAAGCUUCCCCAGGAUGAUUUUGCCCAUAACCAUGCCAUUAACCGAAGCUCGAAGUUCAGUCCGUUUCAGAUCAUUUAUGGAGUCGUUCCUCGUGCUCCACUCGACCUCUCAACUUUGCCCGAUCGUGUUCGUCUUCACGGUGGAGCUGAAGCAUUCAUGGAGAAAGUGCUCGAGACACACAAGCAAACAACGUCCAACUUGGAGACAAUAUAAAGCUGCGGCAGACACCCAUAGACGACGUCUCAUAUUUGAGGUUGGUGAUCUUGUCUGGGCAGUUCUUACUCGAGAUCGUAUGCCUGCACACUCGUAUAACAAAUUAAAAGCAAAGAAGAUUGGUCCUUUGGAGGUUCUUGAGCGUAUCAGUGACAAUGCUUAUCGUCUCCAGCUGAUAUAACUACUUCUGAUGUUUUUAAUGUCAAGUACCUCUCUCGCUAUUUUUCUCCCGAGCAGCCAUCUGAUUCGCGGUCGAAUCCUCUUCACCCCGGGGGACCUGAUGCAGCAGCAUCCGAGUAGCUUCAACGUCAAGUUUCCUUUUUAUUUAUUUCCUUUUUACUUAGGGUUUAUGUUUUACCUUUUCUAUAGGUUAAGGAUUUUAAUGACGGUUUAAGAGUUCUAUAUAAAGAACUCUCUUAUGGCUUUUGUAGAUACGCUUUUGAUAAUUAAUAAACUAGCUUUGAGGUUAAGGAUUUUAAUGACGGUUUAAGAGUUCUAUAUAAAGAACUCUCUUAUGGCUUUUGUAGAUACGCUUUUGAUAAUUAAUAAACUAGCUUUGAGCUUUAUAUCUUGAAAGAGAUUUGAUUCAAUUCAUCUUGUUCGAGAAGCCUUGAGAGAGAUUCGAUUAAAUUCAUCUUCUUCAAAAAGCAGGUCUCUAGAGUUUUCAAUCGAAAACCCUAGAUCGAGCUGAUAUCUUGUUCUUACCCUCCAUCAAAAUUGAAGCAUCGAUUACUCAGUAAGUUUCAUCUCACUAAAACUUUCAAAACCGUCAUCGUUGGUUGACAUAAUCAGAGAUUGCAGUAGAGGAUGAACCCUAGAAACCAAUGAUCGACGCUCGUGAAGAAGAGAAGGUGAGAAGAGGAUAGGAGAGUGAAAUGAGAUACCCUCUUGUUGAUUUUUAGCCCAAAUAAUGUAAAUCACAGCCCAUCCGUAAAAAAAAUCCAAGCCCACUCGUAAAAUCAAUACAAAAAACAAACGAACGAAAUGUGGACUUCCACGAAAUGUACGUCUAUCUAAAUAAAGCCCAAAUCACCCCGAAACAAAAAACUUAAUGAAAUGAACAUUUUAAAUCAGAGGACACGUGUCAUGUUUAUAGAAGCCGACUUUAUGACGUGUCCGCCUACGUGGCUUCACCAGGAGAGAUCAAACCCUCUUUUAUAAUAAUAGAUAGAUAGAUAGCUUAGAGUCUGAGAUUUUUUUUUUUAUCUCUGUUCCAUUCUAGUUCAUGUGAUCUUACAAGAUUCAAUCCUUGUAAUUGUUUGAUGCUUUUCUUUUUCUUCCAAACUUGUUGGCAUGAUCAUGCUUAUACUUUCCAAUUUAAUAGUUUCUUCUUAGGGGACAGUUCUGCAUGUACAGCUAGUUCUAUAUUUUUAUGUUUGGAACAAUGGUACAUGGUGAAUUGAUUUUGUCUUAGAUCAUUUUAUAAUGUGUUUGACGAAAUAUGUAACAGUUUGUUAUGUUUUGAUUAUAUACAGGUUCUUUCAAGACCUUGUGCAAGAUGGAUGAAGGCAUUGUUUAAGACUUUACAUUUUAGUUAUGUUUUGUGGAUUUUCUAUUCUAGUCGAAACAACCAAAGUUUUUGUUGGAAGCGUGAGCUUCCUUUCCAAAACCACUUUGAUUGUUGUCUUUCUAGUAUUCUAUUUGUGUAAAUUUAUGAGAAUGUGUAUGGAAUGCAGUUUCAUUUACAUAGGUAACAUGUUGGUC
rnacentral:lncRNA from 1 species